AUUGAACGCUGGCGGCAGGCUUAACACAUGCAAGUCGAGCGAGCGGCGGACGGGUGAGUAAUGUCUGGGAAACUGCCUGAUGGAGGGGGAUAACUACUGGAAACGGUAGCUAAUACCGCAUACCAUAAGAUGAACCCCGAUGGGAUUAGCUGGUAGGUAAGGUAACGGCGUACCUAGGCGACGAUCCCUAGCUGGUCUGAGAGGAUGACCAGCCACACUGGGACGUAGACACGGCCCAGACUCCCACGGGAGGCAGCAGUGGGGAAUAUUGCGCAAUGGGCGCAACCCUGACGCAGCCAUGCCGCGUGAAUGAAGAAGGCCUUCGGGUUGUAAAGUUCUUUCGGUAGCGAGGCGUUAACUACAGAAGAAGCACCGGCUAACUCCGUGCCAGCAGCCGCGGUAAUUC
rnacentral:rRNA from 1 species